rnacentral:lncRNA from 1 species
CACAGAAGCAUUUACCAUUUAUAAAAGCAAAAGCCAGGUGAUAUACAUAUGUAGAUUUGCUUGGCUAAAGAGGGGACAAAAUGGGAACAAAAGGCAGGAAAUAUCCAUAUGCAGAUUUAGUUAGCCCAUACCACACAGGCUGGGGCAGGGGAUAGUCUCCAUUCCCAGAUUCUCUGUCAGGCCAGGAAGUUGAGGGAAGCCCCUUAGCUUCCACUUGAGUUUAGAGGGGAGCUCCCAAGUUCAGUCCUUUUCAAAAUGAGUUUUUAUUUGGUAUUGAAACACACAGAACUUCCUCUUGCUGAAAGUGGAGAUCUUUUCAAAGCUGACUUUGAAUAAAACCUAUUUGCCUACGAAUUUGACUCUGGAGCAGCAAGUGUUGUAGCCUAGUCUUUUCCUCUUAGAGCCAGGAUCAGAGCCGCCAGGUAGCAGGUUGAGCAAUUCACAGCUUUGAGGUUGUGUCAAAUGUGGAAAGAGUUUUUUAAUACCUUGAAACCUUGAAGAGGGGAUUGGUUAUGUAGAUUUUGACAUGUCCUUACAGUGCAAUGCUAUACAGCCUUUCCUAAGGAUGAAUUAUUGCUCUGUGUUUUGACAAGGAAAGGAUUUCAAAACAGAACAUUUUGGUCUGGUGCACGCCUGUGAUCCCAGCAAUUCAGGAGGCUGAGGCAGGAGGGAUCUCAAGUUCAAAGUCAGCCUCGGCAAUUU